UACGUAGGCAGCGAGCGUUGUUCGGAAUUACUGGGCGUAAAGAGUGUGUAGGCGGUGUUCCCAGUCUGGUUGUGAAAUCUCCCGGCUUAACUGGGAGGGUGCAGCGGAAACUAGAAUGCUAGAGGGUGGGAGAGGUAAGCGGAAUUCCUGGUGUAGCGGUGAAAUGCGUAGAUAUCAGGAGGAACACCGUGUGGUGUAGACAGCUUACUGGACCACUUCUGACGCUGAGACACGAAAGCGUGGGUAGCAAACAGG
rnacentral:rRNA from 1 species